rnacentral:rRNA from 1 species
UACGUAGGGCGCAAGCGUUGUCCGGAAUUAUUGGGCGUAAAGAGCUCGUAGGCGGUUUGUCGCGUCUGCUGUGAAAACCUAAGGCUCAACCUUGGGCUUGCAGUGGGUACGGGCAGACUAGAGUGCGGUAGGGGUGACUGGAAUUCCUGGUGUAGCGGUGGAAUGCGCAGAUACCAGGAGGAACACCGAUGGCGAAGGCAGGUCACUGGGCCGCAACUGACGCUGAGGAGGCGAAAGCAUGGGGAGCGAACAGG